UUUAUCUCCUGUUCUUAAACAUGUCAACAUUUGAGGGUACAAAAUGCACACUGCAUCAACUACAGCUACUAAAGACACAAUAGAAAAAAACAUAGUAAAAUGUUUAACCUUUAAUACCUUGGCUAUCUAGUUGUCAUGAAACGAUCAGAGAUCAGAGACUUUUACAUGAAGCGGAAGUAUCACAGUAGAGAGAAUACAGUUCUAUAUCAGUAAAAUACAUCCCUUCAGCGUGUUUUUCCCAGGCUACAGAGAGUUAGUGGUGAAAGGCUGCCACUUGUAGACCAGGACAUUUACAACCUCCAUUAUAGAGAAGAACAGUGCUUUAGUUAUACAUGGAUGGAUCCUCCAUUCCGGUUCUCACGGUUUCCAACCACAUUCAAUCCACAACACAGGGCCUGCGGUAACCAAGAUAAAAAGGGCUCAAUUCAGAGAUAUAGUCUGUUUGGAUGGAUCACGCUGCCUGAGGAGGGUGCUGCUUGUUCCAUGUAUUAAAAAAAACUUUCAAAACAGAAUCUUCAAACAUACCAAUCUGUGUCUUGCUCUGUUGUGGAAAAACGGAAAAGAAACCUUGAUGGAAAUGUUUCAUUUUUCCACCAACAGCUGCUAAACAAAAAACCCAGAUCUCUUCAUGUGCAUCUUUAGUUUCUUUGUUUAUUUGAUAAACCCUAUUUGCAUUUGGAAACAGCUUGGGUAAUUUGACUGGGGACUGACAAUUUGCCUGUAAGGAGAUAACUGUAGUUCAAACAUUUUCUCUCUGUCUCUUCUUUACUCUGCACUUGGCAUUCAUCAGUGUGUGUGUGUGUGUGGGGUAGAAAGAGAGAGAACUCCUCAUUGCUGCAUGGACUUAAUGUGAGACAGACGAGAUGAAAGUACCACAGCAGCCCAUCAUUGGCUACCACUAUCACCAUAGAAACAGGCGUGACCUUAUAAAGGUCAUGGGGAGUUUGGGACAUCCAUACCCCAGUCAGCUGACAGGUCUGUUUUUGUGUAUCCCUUGUGGCUCAGUUGAUAGAGCAUGGCACUUCAACACUAGGGUGGUAGGUUCAAUUCCCAAGGGGGACUAUUAUACAAAAUGUAUCCUCCUGUAAGAGCGCCUGCCAAAAUGUAAAUAUCUGUGCGUUCCCUUGAAAACGUCUAUGUUGUGUAUUUUAACCCUUCAGAAUAAAAGCCUGAACUCUAUGGAAAGAUGAGGCUGUCAUGAACACGAUGGUGCUCUCCUACCUCCACAAGCCCCACCGGGACUCGUUUGUAUUACUAUUUGAUUCUUCUCACUUUUGUUUGUAUUUUCACUUGCUUUGGCAAUGUAAACAUAUGUUUCCCAUGCCAAUAACUGAAUGCCAUUGAAUUGAAAUUGAAUUGAGUCUCAGUGCUCAGUGAGAGAGAGAGCCUCAUGGACAAACUCAAUGGCAGACCUGAACAGCUGGAGAUCCACUCAGAGUCGGUCUCUUAAUGCAGUCCUGCCACACAUAAUGAACUGAGGCCCUGCACAGCAGGAUACAUUUUACUCAGGAGCACACAAGUAGUCUCGGCUAGCUAGCUAGCAUCUACUGCUACCUCCUAGCCACACAACAGAGCAACAACAAACCCACACUCAUCUCAACAAUCUGCCUUGAAGUCUGUUGAGUGUCUGUUAUGACAAUGUGCUGAUAUAAAAGUUAUUUGCGGAUCUUCCUUUCAUGGUUUUUAAAACAACAAUUGGCCAAUAAAGCAGCAGAUCAAAAGCUAACAGCCUACGCUAGCUCCACGCAUCACCUCAUUCUCCUCAGGGGGAGAUUUGGCACCUCACUGCAAAGCCCGGCAACACAAUUACCUCAGCCUAAACCUGUCAGCAGACUAUUACAGCAGCUCGUGUGUGUGUUCGUGUGUGUGUGUCAACACACCAUUACAGCCCAAGCCACCUAUUAUGGGGAUGGGGAAUGGAGUCCAAAGCCAUUGUAGUGAAAAGGUGUUGUCAGAUAUAGGCUGGCGGAAUGUGGCUACAGGGUAUUUGAUGGUGGAGGUUGGCCUAUAGAGCAAUCAUGGCUUCUAAAAACAUGGUUAAAUCUGUAGGUUCUCCUCAGCACCCUUAAUACUGAACACUGAUGGUAUGGUGCAGCUGAUGGAAGGUUCUGGAAGAACACUGAUGGUAUGGUGCUGCUGAUGGAAGGAUAUGGAAGAACACUGAUGGUAUGGUGCUGCUGAUGGAAGGAUAUGGAAGAACA
rnacentral:lncRNA from 1 species